UACAAAGACUGCAAGCGUUAUUCGGAUUCACUGGGCGUAAAGGGUGCGCAGGCGGCCAAGUGUGUGAGGCGUGAAAGCCCGGGGCUUAACCCCGGAAUUGCACCUCAAACUACAUGGCUAGAGCAUUGGAGAGGGUAGCGGAAUUCACGGUGUAGCAGUGAAAUGCGUAGAUAUCGUGAGGAACACCAGAGGCGAAGGCGGCUACCUGGACAAUUGCUGACGCUCAGGCACGAAAGCGUGGGGAGCAAAAGGG
rnacentral:rRNA from 1 species